rnacentral:rRNA from 1 species
GACGAACGCUGGCGGCGUGCUUAACACAUGCAAGUCGAGCGGUAAGGCCCUUUCGGGGUACGACGAGCGGCGAACGGGUGAGUAACACGUGGGUGACCUGCCCUCCAGCUCUGGGAUAAGCCUGGGAAACCGGGUACUAAUACCGGAUAUGACUCCAUGACGCAUGUUGUGGGGUGGAAAGCCUUGUGCGGCUGAGGAUGGGCCCGCGGCCUAUCAGCUUGUUGGUGGGGUGAUGGCCUACCAAGGCGACGACGGGUAGCCGGCCUGAGAGGGCGACCGGCCACACUGGGACUGAGACACGGCCCAGACUCCUACGGGAGGCAGCAGUGGGGAAUCUUGCGCAAUGGGCGAAAGCCUGACGCAGCGACGCCGCGUGAGGGAUGACGGCCU